rnacentral:tRNA from 1 species
GCCCAUGUAGCUCAGCAGGUAGAGCACCUCCUUGGUAAGGAGGAGGUCACCAGUUCGAAUCUGGUCAUGGGCUCCA